rnacentral:ribozyme from 1 species
UAGACGCCCAGACAAGAAUUGACCAAAAGAAAGAAACAAAAAAGAAGAAAAAAUAGGCUUUUGGUCAAAUUCUGUCUGUUAG